CCCAAUAACGCUGUGAUUGUCUGGUUCCUU
rnacentral:piRNA from 1 species